UCCAUCCGAAUAAGGUGGAGCUAUAAAAGGCCAAUAAGCCUCAUUUUUAAAAUAGGGUAGUGUGACUUAAUAAUAACGUGUCACAAUGGUUUAAUUUUCAUGUUUGUCGGAAUUUAGACUGAACUUGAGUUAAAUUAAGAGAAAAUUGCAAAAAAUGUCCACUAUCACAUUGUCAUUUUCAAAAAUAUUCCAUAUUCGUUCCAUGUCCAUUUUGAUGAAAUUUAAACCAAAAAUGCCCUUAGUAACCAUUGGAAAUUCCACGAGAAAUACAAUUUUUUUCAUAUAAUUAAAAAUUAUGUUGGAAUGUAGAAACCUAAUACAUAACCUGUACUACAUAUUUGAAAAGGUAGUAAUGUCAAUCCAUGCAUUAAACAAGAGGAAUGCAGAGAAGGCACAAAGGAGAUGUGAAGUAAGAGCAAAAAAGGAAGAUGAACGGAAAGGAAAUGUGAAUUUUCUUCCCACACAAUGCGCGGUUCCAUUUUUACAUCUGUGAAAAUAUCAUGAUGGUACUGCAUGAUCAAUGAAUUGUUUGCAUAGGAGAUGGAGAAAAAGUUGAGAAUGAAAGGAAGAAUGAAGGGUGCUUAUAUUGAAUGUGAAAUCAAUGAGAACACCAAUGUUCGUGAA
rnacentral:lncRNA from 1 species